UUGACAGCUAGCGGCCUGUCAAUCAUGACAGAGGUUUAGCAAAGCUUAUCCAAGGCACGUCAACUUCAUUUUGGAGUUUGACCAGCUUUCUUCGUAGUGACUGUGACACUUGUCGCCUAAUAAUGUCUUGUUCAGCGUUUGGUUGGACGACAAGACACUCAAAGGACUCGGCAGUUCAGUUUUUCUGCUGCCAUUGGAACCUGACUCCUGCUACCGCUUCACUCCUGCCAUCCAACGGAGCAGUCAUGCCACCACCACUAGCCGGCCUACUAUCUUCCUCUGACGGACCCUCUCCUUCCCAGAAACCACCGGACCCGUUCUCCAUCCUGGAAACUUGGACUUCCUUUUCCCCCUCAGAAACCUGGACUCGAUACUUGAGUACUUUAAAUAAAACCUGUUAAUUCACA